rnacentral:rRNA from 1 species
GCCGCGUGAGUGAUGAAGGGUUUCGGCUCGUAAAACUCUGUUAUUAGGGAAGAACAAAUGUGUAAGUAACUGUGCACGUCUUGACGGUACCUAAUCAGAAAGCCACGGCUAACUACGUGCCAGCAGCCGCGGUAAUACGUAGGUGGCAAGCGUUAUCCGGAAUUAUUGGGCGUAAAGCGCGCGUAGGCGGUUUCUUAAGUCUGAUGUGAAAGCCCACGGCUCAACCGUGGAGGGUCAUUGGAAACUGGGAAACUUGAGUGCAGAAGAGGAAAGUGGAAUUCCAUGUGUAGCGGUGAAAUGCGCAGAGAUAUGGAGGAACACCAGUGGCGAAGGCGACUUUCUGGUCUGUAACUGACGCUGAUGUGCGAAAGCGUGGGGAUCAAACAGGAUUAGAUACCCUGGUAGUCCACGCCGUAAACGAUGAGUGCUAAGUGUUAGGGGGUUUCCGCCCCUUAGUGCUGCAGCUAACGCAUUAAGCACUCCGCCUGGGGAGUACGACCGCAAGGUUGAAACUCAAAGGAAUUGACGGGGACCCGCACAAGCGGUGGAGCAUGUGGUUUAAUUCNAAGCAACGCGAAGAACCUUACCAAAUCUUGACAUCCUUUGAAAACUCUAGAGAUAGAGCCUUCCCCUUCGGGGGACAAAGUGACAGGUGGUGCAUGGUUGUCGUCAGCUCGUGUCGUGAGAUGUUGGGUUAAGUCCCGCAACGAGCGCAACCCUUAAGCUUAGUUGCCAUCAUUAAGUUGGGGCACUCUAGGNUGACUGCCGGUGACAAACCGGAGGAAGGNGGGGAUGACGUCAAAUCAUCAUGCCCCUUAUGAUUUGGGNCUACACACGUGCUACNAUGNACAAUACAAAGGGNCAGCUAAACCGCGAGGUCAUGCAAANNCCAUAAAGUUGUUCUCAGUUCGGAUUGUAGUCUGCANUCGACUACAUGAAGCUGGAAUCGCUAGUAAUCGUAGAUCAGCAUGCUACGGUGAAUACG